rnacentral:rRNA from 1 species
UGGUCGCACAUGCCGCGUGAAGUGACGAAGGCCUUCGGGUCGUAAAGCACUUUCAAUGGGGAGGAAAAUGAUAGAAUUAAUACCUCUAUGGCUUGACGUUUUCCAUACAACAACCACCGGCUAACUCUGUGCCAGCAGCCGCGGUAAUACAAAGGGUGCAAGCGUUAAUCGGAGUUACUGGGCGUAAAGCGCGCGUAGGCGGAUAUGAAAGUCAGAUGUGAAAUCCCUGGGCUCAACCUAGGAACUGCAUUUGAUACUGGUGUCUUCAGUAUGGUAGAGGGAAGUGGAAUUUCCUGUGUAGCGGUGAAAUGCGUAAAUAUCGGAAGGAACAUCAGUGGCGAAGGCGACUUCCUGGACCAAUACUGACGCUGAGGUGCAAAAGCCUGGGGAGCAAACACGAUUAAAUACCCUGGUAAUCCAUGCCGUAAACGAUGAUAACUAGGUGUUGGGAAGUUUACUACUUACUGCCCGGGCUAACGCAUUAAAUUCUCCGCCUGGGGAGGAAGGCCGCGAGGCUAAAACU